rnacentral:lncRNA from 1 species
AUAAAUGUAUCUCCAUUUCAUUUGGUUUAUCGUAGCCUUAUUUUGUGCAAACAUCAACAAUAUAACAAAAUACCAAGAGAUUAGAAAGAAACACAUAAGUUUAUUACAUAACAUUCAAGUAAGUGUACAUUAGUCAUCCAUUACAAUCAUUCAUCACAAUCAGGACAACUAGAAAUGAAGAAAAUAUUCGUUAUAACAAAGAUCUACCGCUAUCUUCCAUCUAUAUAUAAUCAUCAUAUCUGAUAAAACUGAUUCUAUUAGAUGUCCUAAAACAAAGCAUUAUAUAUAUUUGAGUAUAAAAAUUACACAGUUUGGCCUAUAGAAGAAAUAGUUUUAUGUUAGACUAAAUUAAUAUAUACAAGAAAUUAAAUAUUAUAGUAAAUAACAAAUUAUUUAAAUGCUCACCCAUUGUUUGCAUAGGGUAGAUAAGGUAUAGUCUCCUGCUCCAUUUGUUUAUUUCUAUAUUUCUUUAUAUCUCGUCUGGUGGAAAGGAAUGAAGACAUCAAUAAUGCUUUAAUCAAGCUGAAUGUUGCUUUAGCGUGUGCCUUAACUUGUUCUAGUGUGUGAACAUUAUCGUUGUAGUUAUAUAUUUGGAAUUUUUACUCAGAAAUAUUGACGAGAAAAAGAUACCAAUUAUUGCUUGGAUAUGAGUAUGGAAUUAAUAGAUACUUGCAUCCUAACAAGGGACGACCAUCUAUAGGCAAUUUACCAUUAAUGUACUCUUGUAAGAAAGUUCCAUCUGCUUGACCUCUAGUAGUUCCCAUUUGUGUGUCAAUUUGCCAUAUAACUUGACGAGC